CAAAUUAAGAUCCAUGUGAAAUAUUAUCGAUUGAAGUAAACUGUAGGUAUUUUUUCUAUAUAAAGGCCAAAGUUUCGUAUGUAUUUGCAUCGUCAAUCGAAUCAACUCUAUCUCUCAAACAAAUAAGUUUUUUCGAGUUUGUUGAACGAUCAAGAGAGAGAUGGUUCUAACUGGAAAGUUGAUCAUGUACUUGGAUAUCAGUUCACGUGGAGACAUGUUUCAUGAUCUUUUUAGGCACAGAACAAACGACAUCGCUUCCAUUGUCCCAGAUAUGUUUCAUGGUUGUGAAAUCCUUGAGGGUGAACCAGGAGCUGUUGGCUCCAUCAUCUGCAUCGACUAUACCCAAGAUGGAGAAAAGAAACGUGCAAAACAGAUAAUUGAAGAAAUUGACUAAACAAACCACAAGAUAGUGCUCAGUGUAAUCGACGGAGAUCUUCUGGGAGACUUGUACAAGUCCUUCAAGAACAUAUUUCAUGUUGAACCAAAGGGUGAUGGUCAGUUGGCUAUUUGGACCCUUGAGUUUGAGAAGUUGAAUGCAAGUGUUCCCUAUCCAACUACUUUCAUGGAUCAUCUGUUGGAUGUUACCAGGGCCAUUGAUGCCCAUAACAAAGCUGGCAGUACAUAGAUGAAUGAUCUUCUCCGUGUGAUCCAUCUUUAUUUAUAGCCAAGCAGAGUAAAUAAGAUAAGCGAUAAAGCAAACUGAAGAAUUAUAAACUAGUGGCUAUAUAUAUGGCUACUAGGGAUCAUGUAUGUUCUGAUUACCUGGAGCGUACCGUUGUUUCAUUGUUUUGAUCUUGAAGUCUUCUAUGUGAUGGUAUGAUUGUAUGAAGUUUGUGUAUCUGGCAGCACCCAUGAGCUACCUAGCCUUGUACGUGUAAAAUUAUUUUUUCGUUAUAGUAGCCAUCGUCAAUGGUGCUGUGCUUGGUU